AGGUUUCCAGUUUUUUUCUGCUUCUGCUUGGAUUUUUUCAACAUAUGGACCUAAAAUUUAAAAAUUUGAAAGAAGUAUGCUAUCUUAAAGACUGCUCCAGGAUCCCAUGGGAAUGACUUGGAUGAAGAGCCAGAUGCCUCCUCAGCAAGUUCACUGACAACACAAAGCUGGGAUGAGUGGUUGAUAUCCUAGACAGCUCUGCAGCUGUUCAGAGAGACCUUGACAGGCUGAAGAGAUGGGCAGAGAGAAACUAUCUGAAAUUCAAGAGCAAUGACAGAGUCCUGCACCUAGGGAGGAAUAAGCCCAUGAAACAGCACAGGCUGGAGGCAAUCUGCUGGAAGGCAGCUCUGAGGAGAAGGAACUGGAGGUCCUGGUGGACAAUAAGCUGUCCAUGAGCCUGGGGACCAAGAGGCCAACAGGAUCCUGGGGUGCAUUAGGAAGAACACUGCCUGCAGGUCAAGGGAGGUGAUCAUGUCCCUCUGCUCAGCCCAGAAGUAUACAUCCCUUCAGAUUUGGAAAAAAAAAAAUCUCUUCUUUCCCACAAGUUCUUCAAUUCACCAUGCAAGAAUGAUACCAAGACAUUGUCCACUGCACUAUGGAUGCUGUACACUGGAAAAUGACUGAGAUGAAGAUAACAGGCAUGAAAAGCACACAGGGCAAGAGCAAUCAAAGUAUAUCCCUUAAAUGCAGUGGAAAUAAGAAGAGGAUGCAUCUUUUGAAAUGCUGCAGUUUUGCAGUCAUGGAGUAGUAUAUUUUGAAGAAUGAACACAACUUGUACAUUAACUGCACAAGUCCAUCUAGAAAAUUCAACCUACUAGAAUGGGCACUGCCAUAGACAAACUUAUUGCCUGAUUUUACUGCCUAAGAUGCUUUCAGUCAAGUGUAUUGAAAAUGCAAACCAGUGCCUAAUAGUAAAUUAUGUACCAGAAAACACCUGUAUUUUUAUCAACAACUGUAUUAGUCAGUUUUUAAGAAAAGCACCAUGAGCAAUGCCUGCAAUGACAGACAGAACACUACAAGAUAGGUCAGAUUACACAUCACUGCACUCAUAAGUAGCCAGAGAAUAUUUUUUAAUAGUUACAGUUUGAACACUGCAUAGUUGUCUCAAACUGCCAGUUGGCUCAAACUCUAGCAACCAAAAGACAAUUUAGAAGAUGUUAAAUCACAAACAUAGGGGAAAGCAAACAAAAACAGUUUCUAUAAGAAAUUACUGAUUAAUUACAUAGAUGUGAUUUCUUUUGCUCAUCAAUUUCAGUAAUUAUGGGAAGAAGAAGUCGUCCCAUUAUUGGUUGAUAUGCAUGCCAAAGAGAAGGAAGGUCUCUGUCACCAUGUUUAUAAUAACAAUGUCACUUAAGAUGCAGAGAGUUUUUCAUCCUUAAUAGCAGCAGGUUGGUGCUACAACAGCACUAGGCAAAACUGGAAAAGGUACAGAAGAAGUUCUGAACACUUCUGAACAGUGCUUAUUGCUUAUGUAGCAGCACUGCCCUCACUCUUGCUUGAGCAAGAGAUAUUUCCACUAUCUCAAAACUUCACUGAACUCAACAAUGCAGUUAUUGUCAAACUAAGAAUACUGAAUAACAAUGACAUGGCUUCCAAAAGCUCUCUCUUGGAAGGGGGAAAAAACCCCAAACCAAACUCAAACCAGCAAAACAUAGGAAUUUUUGUCUAUGACUUCCUGGCUAGCUUAAUUCAUUCUUGUCCCAGCUCUGCCACAAGCAAUAUUAGUUGAUAGUUGUAACAUUUAAGAUUAUCAGGUGUAGUGUAAAUUGGAAGUAAUGCAAUUAUCACAGAAUUGACCUUCACACCUGGUUUCCC